AUGCUGGUUUCAGCAGCACAUAGACUAGAAUCGAAACGGUACAGAGAUUAGCAUGGUCUCUGCACAAGGAUGACCCACAAAUUGGUGAAGCAUUCCGUAUUUUG
ensembl:snRNA U6 U6 spliceosomal RNA